GCGUGAGACAGAGAUAUGGAAGAGAUGGAGGAAGGUCUGUGUAGCUGAAUUGACUUGGGAUGCAGAGAGGGGCCUGGAGACAGAGAUAGUUCUCUUGGUCAGUUGCCAGAGAGUUCAGGAUGAAUUAAGGAUGUCCGAUGUCAUCGUGGACACGGCGCCCAACGGAGCCAUCCAGCUUCUGAAAGAGAAAUGUUGGAAGUUGAACUUCUUGCAUCUAAAGGAUGAGACAUGCCAGGCCACUGAGCUCACUGAGCUGUAUGGACAUUCUGAGACCUCUUCAAAGGAAACUCUAAUUGACGAGAAAAGUCCAAAGACCAAGUGCCCGGCCAGUGUCGCUG